GAAGUACUCCCUCCGUCCAGAAUUACUUGUCAUCAAAAUGGAUGUGUCUAGAACUAAAAUACAUCUAGAUACAUCCAUUUCAAUGACAAGUAUUUCUGGACGGAGGGAGUACAAG
rnacentral:pre_miRNA from 1 species